AAUGUGUCAAAAAAAUUAUAUAUUUUCCAAUAAGCAUUAAAUACCAUUAAAUUUGUGAUAGAAAUGCGAUUUUAAGCUAAUAAAUCUGCCUAAUGGGCUAGUUGAUUAAAAAAUUAAAAAUAAAUUAAUAAUUAUUAUCAAAAUGCACGAAAUAUUUAUUUUAUUUGGCAACUUACAUUUUAAUGCCAAACAAAUAUUUAUGAAAGAAAUAAAUACAUUCGGAAUAGGUCACCUUUCGCUUCUCAAAGUAAACCGCAGAUGCUUUACCAGGGACACACAUCCAGAAUUAAAGUACUCUUUCCCAAUUCACGGGAAUUAAAUGCAGAAUAAGAUGAACGGGGAAAGUGCUGAUUACUUAAAUCCGUAGUGUUAGAGCGCGCAUCAAAAGUGAAUGCCAACGAAUAGAAAAUUGGCCGAAAUUUCGCUUCGAUAGAGGCAAACACACAUAUCAGACGGCUGAAACGGCAACGUGUGCUUAUGGUCUUGUUAUUGUAACAGUACAAAUUGCUAAAUUUGUGUUUAGCCGAUUCCGUGUAAAAGACCAAGUGGUGAAAAUGUCUAUCACAAAAUGGAUUUCAACAAGUCUGAUCGUCAUGCGCGAACUUUUUCAAUUGCCCAGCAAUUAAAUAUCAUAUUGAAAACGAUUUGGAGUCAUUUGAAAAAGGCUGGAUACACGAAAAAGCUCGACUCCGGUUAUAACAUUAAAUGAAAGCAGUUGUAGUCGGAGUGCAGUGACCCGGCAUAAGCGGUCAAAAACCUGAGAUUCAUGUCCAUGAAAGUUUUGGUGUGUCUUUAAUUUUAUUGGCAAGGAAUCAACUGCAGUGAGAUGCGGCCAAACUCUUCACACAGAUUUUUACUGUCAGCAAUCGGACCGUCUAAAGAAAGCAAUCGUUCCAAAGCAUCCAAUUUUGGCCCACAGGAAGGAAAAUGUGUUUGAACGCAACAACGCCAGAUUACACAUAUCGAUAGCUACUCGUCAGAAGAUCCAAGAGCUUGAUUGGCAGUUUCUUGUGCAACCACCUUAUAGUUCGAGCCACGCACCAAGUAUCAACUAUCUGUUCCUGUCUAUGACCAAUAAUUUGGCUGGCCUCAAGAGCAACCUGUGGAAAUAGAUUUUAUCAAUUUUUGCCAAUAAGGACAAGGGUUUCUAUGAGAGAGGCAUAAUGACAAUACCUAAAUAAUGAAAAGAAAUUAGAGAGCGAAAAGAUGCAUAGUUCUGAUAAAUCUGAUAGUUUUGAAUGACUCGUAAGUCUGGAGGUCUGGAAAACGAUUUAACGUAAUCUCUUGUUUUGCCGAUGUCAAUUGGCCAGCGAGACUUUUUUGAGGGGCUAUGAGAAAGACCGUGUUUAUGCGGGGAAUUUUUGAACUAUCGAACACUUGAAAACCAACAAUCGUCAAGUUAUGGCUGAGAUAUCGCUCAAUAUGUGCCGAAAAGAGGUCAAAGCAGUCAUUUGAAUCGUGAAAUGUAUCACAUAUAAUGCCGAAGUUCAGACUUUACAACAAACAAAAAUUUCAUGAAUGUAAAAACGGGUAAUUCUGGACACAAGUCUCUUCUCGUAAAUUGGUUUUCGCAACACAUUCAUUCACCUGCAGCUGCAAAAGGCAAACCCUGUUUUUGGGCAGCCUUGCUCCUCGAUAGCUACCAAAAACUGUUGAUUUUAAACAGAAAUACUUACGACCACAUAAAACGUUCAGAACUCUGCGGUCUCAUCAAACCGAUCCAAACAAUGUCGUUCACAUCCAGUUCACGAAGAAGA
rnacentral:lncRNA from 1 species